CCUACGGGAGGCAGCAGUGGGGAAUAUUGGACAAUGGGGGGAACCCUGAUCCAGCCAUGCCGCGUGUGUGAAGAAGGCCCUCGGGUUGUAAAGCACUUUCAGUGAGGAAGAACGCCUGGUGGUUAAUACCCAUCAGGAAAGACAUCACUCACAGAAGAAGCACCGGCUAACUCCGUGCCAGCAGCCGCGGUAAUACGGAGGGUGCGAGCGUUAAUCGGAAUUACUGGGCGUAAAGCGCGCGUAGGUGGCUUGAUAAGCCGGUUGUGAAAGCCCCGGGCUCAACCUGGGAACGGCAUCCGGAACUGUCAAGCUAGAGUGCAGGAGAGGAAGGUAGAAUUCCCGGUGUAGCGGUGAAAUGCGUAGAGAUCGGGAGGAAUACCAGUGGCGAAGGCGGCCUUCUGGACUGACACUGACACUGAGGUGCGAAAGCGUGGGUAGCAAACAGGAUUAGAUACCCUAUAGUC
rnacentral:rRNA from 1 species